UUCGGGUGAGGCAAGCGUUGUUCGGAAUCACUGGGCUUAAAGCGCGUGUAGGCGGCUCGGUAAGUACCUUGUGAAAUCCCUUCUCUCAAUGAAGGAAUGGCUGGGUAUACUGCCGGGCUGGAGGCAGGUAGGGGUCACUGGAACUCUAGGUGGAGCGGUGAAAUGCGUAGAUAUCUAGAGGAACGCCCGUGGCGAAAGCGGGUGACUGGGCCUGUCCUGACGCUGAGACGCGAAAGCGUGGGUAGCAAACGGG
rnacentral:rRNA from 1 species